CGUGUGCAUGUGCGUGUGCGUGUGUGUGUGCAUGUGCAUGUGUGCAUGUGUGUGUGUGUGUGUGAGUACAAAGAGGAAUUAGCAACCUAUCAGCUGUGGGUCU
rnacentral:miRNA from 1 species